CUACGGGUGGCAGCAGUGGGGGAUAUUUGGCAACGGACGCAAGUCUGACCCAGCAACGCCGCGUGAAGGAAGAAGGCUUUCGGGUUGUAAACUUCUUUUAAGGGGGAAGAGCAGAAGACGGUAGCCCUUGAAUAAGCCACGGCUAACUACGUGCCAGCAGCCGCGGUAAUACGUAGGUAGCAAGCGUUGUCCGGAUUUACUGGGUGUAAAGGGCGUGCAGCCGGAGAGACACGUCAGAUGUGAAAUCCACGGGCUCAACCCGAUAACUGUAUUUGAAACUGUUUCCCUUGAGUAUCGUAGAGGUAAGCGGAAUUCGUUGUGUAGCGGUGAAAUGCGUAGAUAUAAGGAAGAACACCAGUGGCGAAGGCGGAUUACUGGACGAUAACUGACGGUGAGGCGCGAAAGCGUGGGGAGCAAACAGGAUUAGAUACCCCUGUAGUC
rnacentral:rRNA from 1 species